ACAAACCAGAAAAAUCUUCAGAGGAUUUGGAGGCCUGUGUCACAGCACCAACACCAAACACUCAUCCUUCCCGGCCGGAGAAACCCUACAGCUGCUCCCAGUGUGGAAAGGCAUACGCCAGCCGAAGCGGACUCAAGGGCCACAUGAAAACUCAUCCUGGGGGGCCGACGAAUGUCCCCCCCAAGACUCAAACCAAUGAAAGUGACACUGCAGAGGAUCACAAAGCACAUUCGGCCAAUAAGAACCUCGCAGACCA